GGUGAGUCAUUUCUAAUGCAUGUCUAGGUUCACUUGUUGUUUCUCCAUGUUUUAUUUUUGUUUUUGUUCAUUUUUUUCUUCACAUUUGUUAUUUCACUUUUGUUAUUCCCUUAAACACUGCAGUUCCUUCCCCUUGAUAUGCUUGUGAAAUAAAUUUACUGUAAAAUACAUGAAUUGUAUUAAAGCUUGCCUAGGAUGAAAUGAUCUAUUCGAGGUUAAAUUUCUAUACUACUUUUCAAAAAUCUGCAUUGUACCUUUAUUUUGUUAUGCUCAUGGCCCUCCAAAUAAAUACCAACAGUUAUUAUAGUCCACCAUGAAUGAUUGUUGACAACUUUUUCUGAUGAUAACUGGAUUUGAACCUUGCAGUCUGUUGUGCCUAUGAAUUGUGGGUGUGGUAACCUGGGUCGAGUGACACAGGAAUAUUUGAGAGAACAGCUAAAAGGUUGUCUUUGAAUCGGCGAAAGGCUUCCAAGACUAGUCAACACCAAACACCCCCAGAGAGCCCCGAGGCCCGCAGUAAAAAGUCAUGACACAACAAGGCCCCAUUAGCUCUAGACAAUGCAGCGCCCUCUGUCAGAAACCACGGACAUCAAGUCCCGGAACAACUCUGAUACCUGUGAUAUUCCUGCUUUUACUCGUGACCCAUGUGUGCCAAAGACUUAGACUCAGUGCUGACUGUGGCUUGUUGCUUUUUCCAUUGUCCAUCCCUCAUCAAUUGUCCAACUCUCGUUUUCCAUGCUAUAUGUAAUACAUGUACAUGUGUAUAUGUCAAGAAUUUUGAUAGUCUUUCCUUAACUUGUAUCCAAUACAUACAUAUUAUAAUUAUUAAAUUAAGAGGGCUGAAUAGUUGAGGCCAUUUUUUGACUUUAUUUAUCUCUUUAAGAAGAAGAGCUCUGUUUAAAGAUAGCACAAUAUUUAUCUUCAAAGCUUAUUGCUUUACUGAUUGAUAGUUUAGAGCUAAACAAAAUGAUAUCAAAAAAUUUAAGGAAGAUCUAAUGGUUAUUUUUUUUUACUAUCUAGCUUCUUUAAGAGUAUAAUGGCAUACAAAUAUUUGUUGUUCAUAUUAUUUGUGAAUUGUAGACCCUUCAUAAAUGAAUUUGAUAGUGCUAUUUUGAAUGCAUGCCAGAACUCAGAGAGCUAAAUGAAAUGAAAAUUCAUCAUUGCAAAAUACAGUUUGUACAUUGCUAAAUGAGGGAUGGACAGUUAUUUUCUUUUUAUUUUGUUUUACAUGUACAUGUAUGGGAUUUUUUGCCAGAGAAAGAGAAUGGAAUAUUAUGGUUUCUGUCUUGAUUAAGCAAUAUACAUUUAUUGAACUGAAAUGUCCCAUUUUUAUUCAGGAAUAAUUAUGAAUUUACAUGUAGUUUUAGGUGCAUAUUUUUAGACUACUCAAAAGUCUGGUAAAGUUGAUAUAUGGAAGUAUAUUGUUUACAUGUUUAAUUGUUGUCAUGGCAGCAAGCAUUCAUAUUGUUCCCCUUCAAUUACUAGGAACAAAUGAUCAAAAUUGAUGUGCAAUAGUAUUUAUGUAAUAUAUAUAUAAAGUUUUGUGUC
rnacentral:misc_RNA from 1 species